UACGGAGGGGGCUAGCAUUGUUCGGAAUUACUGGGCGUAAAGCGCACGUAGGCGGCUUUGUAAGUUAGAGGUGAAAGCCCGGAGCUCAACUCCAGAACUGCCUUUUAGACUGCAUCGCUUGAAUCCAGGAGAGGUGAGUGGAAUUCCGAGUGUAGAGGUGAAAUUCGUAGAUAUUCGGAAGAACACCAGUGGCGAAGGCGGCUCACUGGACUGGUAUUGACGCUGAGGUACGAAAGCGUGGGGAGCAAACAGG
rnacentral:rRNA from 1 species